rnacentral:lncRNA from 1 species
CAAGGAGAACAAGGCUUCAUCGUCCUCCUCCUCCGUGUCUCCUACCGCAGUCAAACUCCAGCUGCAAAGAGUAGAAAACAAUAUCGACUUCCAGGCUUUUUCAUGUCAUCUCUGUCUUGUCUGGGAGCCUUGCGCUAGUCCCGGAACGUUUACUAUCUCCUCCACUUUCCUGUCGUAAGAAACUAGAGGAAACAACGUCCGUUUCCGGUUGGCUCCAGCUGGAAGGUUGAAUAUUGAGUGUCCUGGGAGGUCACAUUGCUGUCAGCAAUGAGGCUUGGAGAUACAUGGGCGGCUUUGCAGACAAUAUCACCUUCACGAGCGUAAUGUUAAAAGGAUUCAAAUGGGGGUUUGCUGCGUUUGUGGUAGCUUUAGGGGCCGAGUAUUUCCUGACUUCCCAUGAGGAUAAGAAGCAUCACUGAAGAGAGCACCUGUGACGUCUUCCAUGAAAAUAAGAUUUCUCUCACCAUAGCAUCCUUGGCUGUGUGUCUGUCCUUGAAAGAAUAUUGUAUGGUUUAAUAAAGCAAGAAAAACUG